GACGAACGCUGGCGGCGUGCUUAACACAUGCAAGUCGAACGGAAAGGCCCUGCUUUUGUGGGGUGCUCGAGUGGCGAACGGGUGAGUAACACGUGAGUAACCUGCCCUUGACUUUGGGAUAACUUCAGGAAACUGGGGCUAAUACCGGAUAGGAGCUCCUGCUGCACGGGGGGGGUUGGAAAGUUUCGGCGGUUGGGGAUGGACUCGCGGCUUAUCAGCUUGUUGGUGGGGUAGUGGCUUACCGAGGCUUUGACGGGUAGCCGGCCUGAGGGGGUGACCGGCCACAUUGGGACUGAGAUACGGCCCAGACUCCUACGGGAGGCAGCAGUGGGGAAUAUUGCACAAUGGGCGGAAGCCUGAUGCAGCAACGCCGCGUGCGGGAUGACGGCCUUCGGGUUGUAAACCGCUUUCGCCUGUGACGAAGCGUGAGUGACGGUAAUGGGUAAAGAAGCACCGGCUAACUACGUG
rnacentral:rRNA from 1 species